rnacentral:lncRNA from 1 species
CUCUUCUUGACUCUUCUGAAGUUUUUCCUUGUUCCUGUCUCUCUUCCUCCUGUCUGCUGCAGCCUCACACACCAGACAGUUCUCAAGAUGUCCUUCGGGGGAGCCUCCAGGAAGACGAAGAAGAGGCACUAGGUGCAUGCCUACACAGAGGAAAGCCAUGUGAGGACACAGCGAUAAGAUUGCUGACUGCAAGCUCAGGAGAACUUAGAAGAAACCAACCCUACCAGCACCUUGAUCUUGGACUUCCAGCCUCCAGAACUGUGAGAAAGGAAUGGCAAGGAACCUGAGGAACCAGCGUGAGGAAAACCUGGAUGAUCUGACGUCUUCCUCACUUUAUCCCUACCUGUCCACGCCUCCAUCCAUCCACCCAUCCAUCACUGAUCAAGCUCUCACUAUGUCUAUAGUGUAGAAGGUGCCACCAAAUGCAAUGGAACCUCUUGUCUCAUGUGUCUACUUGCAUCUUUAAGUUGAUACACGGAAGGCACAGUCCAAGCACAGGAUACUGGAAGCUAUGGAGGUACAGUGGCCUCUGAGCAAACUGAAAACUCUCUAUCACUAAAGGGUUGGGCAUACAGGGUAUCUCCUCUGCUCUGCCACCUACCUUGAGGAUGCUUUACAUGUGGCUAAAAGUGGAGGCAGAGAUAUUUGGAUAAAUAAAUGCUAGAGAAUUGGAAAUUCCUAGGACAAGUCAA